CGGAGUGUAGCGCAGCCUGGUAGCGCAUCUGCUUCGGGAGCAGAGGGUCGCAGGUUCGAAUCCUGCCACUCCGA
rnacentral:tRNA from 1 species